ACCCAUUUUCUCCUUUUUCAUCUAAAAAAAUUGCACUUUGUGCAUUUUUCUGAACUGAACUUCGUCAUGCCGCGGGAACCGAAGAGCCUCGGCAUGAAAAUCCUAUGGAUUUGGACCUUUGGAACUGCUAUUAUUGUAGUUACGAACGUGAUGCGCGCAAGAAUAAGGGAAACAAAAACACUCAUGAACGCCGAACAACAACAACAACGACAGCAUGAUGCCACUACCACUGCCUCGUCUUUGGUGGAUACACUGAGUCUCCUAUCAUCUGGCCCUGUUAUUUCAGACAAUAAAGAUUGAUUUGCAUUUAAUUUAUGGAUUCUGUUUCGUUCUUGGAUUUUGUGAUGCCGUGUAAACUCGCGGAGGAUAACAGUGCAUGCAACAUGUUUGUUGAAUGUCCUAAUCGAAAACUGAAGGCUGGGACAACCAGCGGAAUUUGGAAACCCAUUUGGGAUAUAUGCUUUUUACAUUUUAGAUAAUCUUUUUGGUA